rnacentral:rRNA from 1 species
UAAGGAAUAUUGGUCAAUGGACGCAAGUCUGAACCAGCCAUGCCGCGUGCAGGAUGACGGCCCUAUGGGUUGUAAACUGCUUUUGUACGGGAAGAACUACAUUUACGUGUAAGUGUUUGACGGUACCGUAAGAAUAAGGAUCGGCUCACUCCGUGCCAGCAGCCGCGGUAAUACGGAGGAUCCGAGCGUUAUCCGGAUUUAUUGGGUUUAAAGGGUGCGCAGGCGGGUAUAUAAGUCAGAGGUGAAAUUCCAGGGCUCAACCUUGGGACUGCCUUUGAUACUGUAUGUCUAGAGUAUAGUUGGAGUGGGCGGAAUGUAGCAUGUAGCGGUGAAAUGCUUAGAUAUGCUACAGAACACCGAUCGUGAAGACAGCUCACUAAGCUAUAACUGACGCUCAGGCACGAAAGCAUGGGGAGCAAACA